UGCAAAUGGAGCCACACAGUGGAAAUUAGC
rnacentral:piRNA from 1 species